UACGAAGGGGGCGAGCGUUGUUCGGAAUUACUGGGCGUAAAGGGCGCGUAGGCGGCCGAUCAAGUCAGAUGUGAAAGUCCUGGGCUUAACCUGGGGACUGCAUUUGAUACUGAUUGGCUUGAAUGCAGGAGAGGAUAGCGGAAUUCCCAGUGUAGAGGUGAAAUUCGUAGAUAUUCGCAAGAACACCAGUGGCGAAGGCGGCUUACUGGUCCGGUUCUGACGCUGAGGCGCGAAAGCGUGGGGAGCAAACAGG
rnacentral:rRNA from 1 species